UUCUUGUCGGAAAAGGAAGAAUGAUCUUUGGUUUUUGUUUCUCUUGCUGGCUUGUCGGCUUGACUACCACUUCUUCAGUUUGUUUUGGCUCUUCUCUAAUCUCCAAGUCAACUUCCAACAAUCCCUCUUCUUCAACCUGUUCGUCAACUUGUGGUUCCUUAGCCUUUCCUUUUCUGGUGACCACAGCUUUAAUGUGAUUU
rnacentral:lncRNA from 1 species